rnacentral:rRNA from 1 species
GACGAACGCUGGCGGCGUGGAUUAGGCAUGCAAGUCGAACGGUAUCAUCCUUUCGGGGGUGAGAGAGUGGCGAACUGGUGAGUAACACGUAGGUUAUCUACCCUCAAGACGGGGACAACCCAGGGAAACUUGGGCUAAUACCGGAUGUGAGCAACUUUUAGUUGUUUGAAAGGUGGCGUAAGCUGUCGCUUGGGGAUGAGCCUGCGUCCUAUUAGUUAGUUGGUGAGGUAACGGCUCACCUAGGCAAUGAUAGGUAGGCGGCCUUAACGGGUGGUCGCCCACACUGGGAUUGAGAUACGGCCCAGACUCCUACGGGAGGCAGCAGUCGAGAAUAGUCUACAAUGGUCGGAAGACUGAUAGUGCGACGCCGCGUGAACGAUGAAUCCCUUCGGGGUUAAAGUUCUUUUAAUGUGAGCAGUGCUUCUUAUAUUAACAGUAUGGGGAAGAGAUAUUAGCAUAUGAAUAAGCAACGGCUAACUCCGUGCCAGCAGCCGGGUAAUAC